rnacentral:rRNA from 1 species
CACGUAGGGUGCGAGCGUUGUCCGGAAUUAUUGGGCGUAAAGAGCUCGUAGGCGGUGUGUCGCGUCGGCCGUGAAAACUUGGGGCUUAACUCUGAGCGUGCGGUCGAUACGGGCAUCACUUGAGUUCGGCAGGGGAGACUGGAAUUCCUGGUGUAGCGGUGAAAUGCGCAGAUAUCAGGAGGAACACCGGUGGCGGAAGGCGGGUCUCUGGGCCGAUACUGACGCUGGAGGAGCGGAAAAGCCGUUGG